GUAGGGAAUCUUCCGCAAUGGGCGAAAGCCUGACGGAGCAACGCCGCGUGAGUGAUGAAGGUCUUCGGAUCGUAAAACUCUGUUGUUAGGGAAGAACAAAUUUGUUAGUAACUGAACAAGUCUUGACGGUACCUAACCAGAAAGCCACGGCUAACUACGUGCCAGCAGCCGCGGUAAUACGUAGGUGGCAAGCGUUAUCCGGAAUUAUUGGGCGUAAAGCGCGCGUAGGCGGUUUCUUAAGUCUGAUGUGAAAGCCCACGGCUCAACCGUGGAGGGUCAUUGGAAACUGGGAAACUUGAGUGCAGAAGAGGAGAGUGGAAUUCCAUGUGUAGCGGUGAAAUGCGCAGAGAUAUGGAGGAACACCAGUGGCGAAGGCGGCUCUCUGGUCUGUAACUGACGCUGAUGUGCGAAAGCGUGGGGAUCAAACAGGAUUAGAAACCCUAGUAGUCC
rnacentral:rRNA from 1 species